UUCUAAGUGCUUCGUGUGUAAUUAUCUCAUUUUAAAAAGAUAAAUUCAUUGGGAGAUUUUCAGGGGCUGGUGAAAGUGCGUUCUUUUUUGGUUGAGGGGAGGUUAUCUAAAUGGGUCAGAGUUUGUGAGUGUGUCAGGCCAGGGAGCAUUAGCUGAUGCAAAAUACUCUACAAGGUGGCUGAACUGUCUCCUCAACUUCCAAAUAGAAGUCACGUCGAGGAAAUGUUUUUGCUGUCACCAGGUCUCAGGAGGAAUGUAGUAAGACUGCACGUCACUGUCCCCUUUGAAGUUAGGUUUGACCAUGUGACUCACUUUGACUGAUGAAAUGUGUGCAGAAGUGACCUAAGUCCUACCUGAGUGAAAGCUUUAAGAGCCACAAUAUGCUACAUUCUCCUUUACUGCUGCCUUCGAGAUUGUGUGAGCAGAUGUCAAGAUGGGUCUUGUCAGCAUGCUUCCCCCAGUGAUGCUGACGAGCAGAGCAACAGAGUGCAAGCAAAAAUAAAAGAUUUGCUGGGUGCGGUGGCUCACACCUGUAAUCCCAAAUUACAGGCAAAUUAUGCCUGUAAUUUGCUGGGAUUGGGAGGGCAAGGUGGGCAGAUCACCUGAGGUCAGGAGUUCAAGACCAGCCUGGCCAACAUGGUGAAACCCUGUCUCUACUAAAAAUACAAAAAAUUAGCCAGAUGUGGUGGCAGGUGCCUGUAAUCCCAGCUACUCGGGAGGCUGAGGCAGGAUAAUCGCUUGAAUCCGGGAGGCGGAGGUUGCAGCAAGCUGAGAUUGCACCAUUAUACUCCAGCCUGGGAGACACAGCAAAACUCUUUCUCAAAAAAAAAAAAAAAUAAAAUAAAAUAAAUAAAAUAAAAUAAAAGAUUUGUGGGGCU
rnacentral:lncRNA from 1 species